rnacentral:rRNA from 1 species
CGACGCCGCGUGAUUGAUGAAGUCCCUCGGGACGUAAAGAUCUUUUAUGAGGGAAGAAGUUAUUGACGGUACCUCAUGAAUAAGGGCCUCCUAAUCUCGUGCCAGCAGGAGCGGUAAUACGAGAGGCUCAAGCGUUAUCCGGAAUUAUUGGGCGUAAAGGGUGUGUAGGCGGUUAUGUUAGUCUUUUGUGAAAGCCCGCAGGCUCAACCUGUGGAACGCAGGGGAAACGGCAUAACUAGAGGAUGCGAGAGGUAAAGGGAACUCAUGGUGUAGGGGUGAAAUCCGUUGAUAUCAUGGGGAACACCAAAGGCGAAGGCACUUUACUGGCGCACUCCUGACGCUGAAACACGAAAGCGUGGGUAGCGAAUGGGAUUAGAUACCCCAGUAGUCCACGCCCUAAACGAUGAUCAUUGGCUUUUCGGAGUAUCGACCCUCUGAGAGGCGAAGCUAACGCGUUAAAUGAUCCGCCUGGGUAGUACGGCCGCAAGGCUAAAACUCAAAGGAAUAGACGGGGACUUGCACAAGCAGUGGAUUAUGUGGUUUAAUUCGACGCCAAACGAAGAACCUCACCAGGGUUAGAAAUUCUAUCGAAUCCCGACGGAAACGUCGGGAGUCUCACAA